UUUCGCAAUGCCCGAAAGGGUGACGAAGCGACGCCGCGUGCGGGAAGAAGGCCUUCGGGUUGUAAACCGCUGUCGGGAGUUAAGAAAUGUAAGGAUGUUAAUAGCAUCCUUACUUGACUAAGGCUCCGGAGGAAGCCACGGCUAACUCUGUGCCAGCAGCCGCGGUAAUACAGAGGCGGCAAGCGUUGUUCGGAAUUAUUGGGCGUAAAGAGCACGUAGGCGGCUAUGUAAGUCGGUUGUGAAAGCCUUCCGCUCAACGGGAGAACAGCAUCCGAUACUGCAUGGCUUGAGUGCGGGAGGGGAGAGUGGAACUUCUGGUGGAGCGGUGAAAUGCGUAGAUAUCAGAAGGAACGCCGGCGGCGAAAGCGGCUCUCUGGCCCAUAACUGACGCUGAGUGUGCGAAAGCUAGGGGAGCAAACGGGAUUAGAUACCCCGGUAGUCCUAGCCGUAAACGAUGGGCACUAAGUAGAGGGGUUUUA
rnacentral:rRNA from 1 species